CCUACGGGUGGCAGCAGUGAGGAAUAUUCCUCAAUGGGCGAGAGCCUGAACCAGCGAAGUCGCGUGCAGGAUGAAGGUCCUCUGGUUUGUAAACUUCUUUUAUAUGGAAGUAAAGUGCGGAACGUGUUCCUUUUUGUAUUUACCAUAUCAAUAAGCAUCGGCUAACUCCGUGCCAGCCGCCCAGGGACUACGGAGGAUGCGAGGGGUAUCCGGAUUUAAUGGGUUGAAAGGGUGUGUAGGUGGGUAAUUAAGUCAGCGGUUAAAGUUUGUGGCUCAAACAUAACAUUGCCGUUGAUACUAGUAGACUUGAGUAUAUUUGAGGUAGGCGGAAUGCGAGGUGUAGCGGUGAAAUGCAUAGAUAUCACGCAGAACUCCGAUUGCGAAGGCAGCUUACUAAACUAUAACUGACACUGAAGCACGAAAGCGUGGGGAUCAAACAGGAUUAGAUACCCUUGUAGUC
rnacentral:rRNA from 1 species